CAACUGUACUUCUAGUCAGCAUGCAUGGAUAUAUAGGUUGCUAUGAAGCUAUAAUUGAAUGAAGAAAAAAGAACCAUUUGCAUCUCCACAGGUCAUGAAGGUUGUAUUUAAAUAGAAAACUGGACUUAAAAUGAUUUUUUUUCAGCUGAAGUUUCUUUGCAUAUACCUAUACCUAUACCUAUCCACUCCUUUGCCACCUUGCCACCUUUUAGUACCCAUCC
rnacentral:lncRNA from 1 species